rnacentral:rRNA from 1 species
GACGACGCUGGCGGCGUGGAUUAGGCAUGCAAGUCGAACGGUAUCAUCCUUUCGGGGGUGAGAGAGUGGCGAACUGGUGAGUAACACGUAGGUUAUCUACCCUCAAGACGGGGAAACCCAGGGAAACUUGGGCUAAUACCGGAUGUGAGCAACUUUUAGUUGUUUGAAAGGUGGCGUAAGCUGUCGCUUGGGGAUGAGCCUGCGUCCUAUUAGUUAGUUGGUGAGGUAACGGCUCACCUAGGCAAUGAUAGGUAGGCGGCCUUAACGGGUGGUCGCCCACACUGGGAUUGAGAUACGGCCCAGACUCCUACGGGAGGCAGCAGUCGAGAAUAGUCUACAAUGGUCGGAAGACUGAUAGUGCGACGCCGCGUGAACGAUGAAUCCCUUCGGGGUGUAAAGUUCUUUUAUAUGUGAGCAGUGCUUCUUAUAUUAACAGUAUGGGGAGAGAGAUAUUAGCAUAUGAAUAAGCAACGGCUAACUCCGUG